rnacentral:snRNA from 1 species
GUGCUCGCUUUGGCAGCACAUAUACUAAAAAAUUGGAACGAUACAGAGAAGAUUAGCAGGGCCCCUGCUCAAGGAUGACACGCAAAUUCGUGAAGCGUUUUUUU